rnacentral:tRNA from 1 species
GCCGGUUUAGCUCAGUUGGUAGAGCACAUCAUUCGUAAUGAUGGGGUCGCGUGUUCGAGUCACGCAACCGGCACCA